UACGAGGGGUGCAAACGUUGCUCGGAAUCAUUGGGCGUAAAGCGCAUGUAGGCGGCUUUGUAAGUCGGGCGUGAAAGCCCAGGGCUCAACCCUGGAAGUGCACUCGAAACUGCAAAGCUUGAAUAUGGAAGAGGGUCGCGGAAUUCCCGGUGUAGAGGUGAAAUUCGUAGAUAUCGGGAGGAACACCAGUGGCGAAAGCGGCGACCUGGGCCAAUAUUGACGCUGAGAUGCGAAAGCGUGGGGAGCAAACAGG
rnacentral:rRNA from 1 species